UGGGGAAUAUUGCACAAUGGGGGAAACCCUGAUGCAGCGACGCCGCGUGAGCGAAGAAGGCUUUCGAGUCGUAAAGCUCUGUCCUAUGAGAAGAUAAUGACGGUAUCAUAGGAGGAAGCCCUGGCUAAAUACGUGCCAGCAGCCGCGGUAAUACGUAUGGGGCGAGCGUUGUCCGGAAUUAUUGGGCGUAAAGGGUACGUAGGUGGUGUUUUAAGUCAGGUGUCAAAGCGUGGAGCUUAACUCCAUUAAGCACUUGAAACUGAAAGACUUGAGUGAAGGAGAGGAAAGUGGAAUUCCUAGUGUAGCGGUGAAAUGCGUAGAUAUUAGGAGGAAUACCGGUGGCGAAGGCGACUUUCUGGACUUUUACUGACGCUCAGGUACGAAAGCGUGGGGAGCAAACAGG
rnacentral:rRNA from 1 species